rnacentral:ribozyme from 1 species
ACAGAUAUGAUAGAAAAAAAGAGAAAAAUCAGAAAACAAAAGAAUAGAAGUGCGGUUUUGUCAUCACUUCCUUCGUUCUUCGUGUUCAUUCAUUAUUUUGGUCCUCCUCA